rnacentral:rRNA from 1 species
CCUACGGGUGGCAGCAGUCGAGAAUCAUUCACAAUGGGGGAAACCCUGAUGGUGCGACGCCGCGUGGGGGAAUGAAGGUCUUCGGAUUGUAAACCCCUGUCAUGUGGGAGCAAAUUAAAAAGAUAGUACCACAUGAGGAAGAGACGGCUAACUCUGUGCCAGCAGCCGCGGUAAUACAGAGGUCUCAAGCGUUGUUCGGAAUCACUGGGCGUAAAGCGUGCGUAGGCUGUUUCGUAAGUCGUGUGUGAAAGGCGCGGGCUCAACCCGCGGACGGCACAUGAUACUGCGGGACUAGAGUAAUGGAGGGGCAGCCGGAAUUCUCGGUGUAGCAGUGAAAUGCGUAGAUAUCGAGAGGAACACUCGUGGCGAAGGCGGGUUCCUGGACAGUAACUGACGCUGAGGCACGAAGGCCAGGGGAGCGAAAGGGAUUAGAUACCCGGGUAGUC